GUUUGCAAAAUGGUGCGGUACACAACUGAGAAGUAUUUAAACGAUUUUAAUGGCUUAAUGUAAGUAAUACGUUCACAACACGGUUGAUGAAUGGAAAGAUACAUCAAAACAACGGCUUGCAUAUGAAAAUUGAGUACAGCAUGAUGAUAGCUGGAUACACCCAUUUUGCCCCAGAUCAGCACUUUGGCAUUUGGAAGAACACGUUUACUAACAUGGAUGUAGAAAUACGACAGGAGUCGGAAGCUGCGUGGUCACAACUGCCCACCUAUUGUGUACGAGACAUUUGAUAUCUCUGAAUGGCGUUUGUUUGUGUUAUUGAAGGGAAUUUUUCAGCACCAUAAGGUUGCGCUCAAUUCAACAGAUCCUGGACUUGUUAC